rnacentral:rRNA from 1 species
CAAUAGCGUAUAUUUAAGUUGUUGCAGUUAAAAAGCUCGUAGUUGGAUUUCGGAUGGGAGCGAUCGGUCUGGCGCUUAGCGCGAGUACUUGCAUCGUCUCCGGCCAUCCUUGGGGAGAGUCUGUCUGGCAUUAGGUUGUCGGGCAGAGGAUCCUCAUCGUUUACUGUGAAAAAAUUAGAGUGUUCAAAGCAGGCUUAUGCCGUUGAAUAUAUUAGCAUGGAAUAAUAAGAUAGGACUUUGGUACUAUUUUGUUGGUUUGCGCACCAAAGUAAUGAUUAAUAGGGACAGUUGGGGGUAUUCGUAUUCCGUUGUCAGAGGUGAAAUUCUUGGAUUUACGGAAGACGAACUACUGCGAAAGCAUUUACCAAGAAUGUUUUCAUUA